CGUACAAGCAGUGGGAGCCUCUUUUAUGGGGUGACUGCGUACCUUUUGUAUAAUGGGUCAGCGACUUAUAUUCUGUAGCAAGGUUAACCGAAUAGGGGAGCCGAAGGGAAACCGAGUCUUAACUGGGCGUUAAGUUGCAGGGUAUAGACCCGAAACCCGGUGAUCUAGCCAUGGGCAGGUUGAAGGUUGGGUAACACUAACUGGAGGACCGAACCGACUAAUGUUGAAAAAUUAGCGGAUGACUUGUGGCUGGGGGUGAAAGGCCAAUCAAACCGGGAGAUAGCUGGUUCUCCCCGAAAGCUAUUUAGGUAGCGCCUCGUGAAUUCAUCUCCGGGGGUAGAGCACUGUUUCGGCAAGGGGGUCAUCCCGACUUACCAACCCGAUGCAAACUGCGAAUACCGGAGAAUGUUAUCACGGGAGACACACGGCGGGUGCUAACGUCCGUCGUGAAGAGGGAAACAACCCAGACCGCCAGCUAAGGUCCCAAAGUCAUGGUUAAGUGGGAAACGAUGUGGGAAGGCCCAGACAGCCAGGAUGUUGGCUUAGAAGCAGCCAUCAUUUAAAGAAAGCGUAAUAGCUCACUGGUCGAGUCGGCCUGCGCGGAAGAUGUAACGGGGCUAAACCAUGCACCGAAGCUGCGGCAGCGACGCUUAUGCGUUGUUGGGUAGGGGAGCGUUCUGUAAGCCUGUGAAGGUGUACUGUGAGGUAUGCUGGAGGUAUCAGAAGUGCGAAUGCUGACAUAAGUAACGAUAAAGCGGGUGAAAAGCCCGCUCGCCGGA
rnacentral:rRNA from 1 species